rnacentral:lncRNA from 1 species
UCCAUUUUUUGCGAUUUUUUCAUUUUUCAUAAAUGGCCAAAAAACAGAAAAAAAGUAAGGCUAUAACCUUGACUUUCGUCCAUUUUUUGCGACUUUUUCAUUUUUCAUAAAUGGCCAAAAAACAGCCAAAAAGUAAGCCUAUACCCUUAACUUUUCGUCCAUUUUCAGUGACUUUUUUCAUUUUUCAUAAAUGGCUAAAAAACAGCAAAAAAGUAAGGCCAUAGCCUUAACUUUUCGUCGAAUUUUAGCGACUUUUUUCAUUUGUCAUAAAUGGCCAAAAAAAACAGAAAAAAAGUAAGGCUAUAACCUUAACUUUUCGUCCAUUUUUUGCGACUUUUUCAUUUUUCAUAAAUGGCAAAAAAACAGCAAAAAAGUAAGGCUAUAGGCUUAACUUUUCGUCCAUUUUUUGCGACUUUUUUCAUUUUUCAUAAAUGGCAAAAAAAACAGCAAAAAGUAAGCCUAUACCCUUAACUUUUCGUCCAUUUUCAGUGACUUUUUUCAUUUUUCAUAAAUGGCUAAAAAACAGCAAAAAAGUAAGCCUAUAGCCUUAACUUUUCGUCGAAUUUUAGCGACUUUUUUCGUUUUCCAUAAAUGGCCAAAAAACAGCAAAAAAGUAAGGCCAUAGCCUUAACUUUUCUUCCAUUUUUAGCGACUUUUUUCAUUUUCCAUAAAUGGAAAAAAAAACAGCAAAAAAGUAAGGCUAUAGCCUUAACUCUUCGUCCAUUUUUUGCGACUUUUUUCAUUUUCCAUUAAUGGAAAAAAAAACAGAAAAAAAAUAAGGCUAUAACCUUGACUUUCGUCCAUUUUUUGCGACUUUUUCAUUUUCAUAAAUGGCCAAAAAACAGCAAAAAAGUAAGCCUAUACCCUUAACUUUUCGUCCAUUUUCAGUGACUUUUUUCAUUUUUCAUAAAUAGAAAAAAAAACAGCAAAAAAGUAAGGCUAUAGGCUUAACUUUUCGUCCAUUUUUUGCGACUUUUUUCAUUUUUCAUAAAUGGCAAAAAAACAGCAAAAAAGUAAGGCUAUAAGGCUAAAAGUAAGGCUAUUUCGUCCAUUUUUUGCGACUUUUUCAUUUUUCAUAAAUAGCCAAAAAACGGCAAAAAAGUAAGCCUAUACCCUUAACUUUGCGUCCAUUUUCAGUGACUUUUUUCAUUUUUCAUAAAUAGAAAAAAAACAGCAAAAAAGUAAGGCUAUAGCCUUAACUUUUCGUCCAUUUUUUGCGACUUUUUUCAUUUUCCAUAAAUGGCCAAAAAAACAGCAAGAAAGUAAGGCUAGAGCCUUAAAAUUUCGCCCAUUUUUGGCGACUUUUUUCAUUUUUCAUAAAUGGCCAAAAACAGCAAAAAAGUAAGGCGAUAGCCUUAACUUUUCGUCCAUUUUUUGCGACUUUUUCAUUUUUCAUAAAUGGAAAAAAGACAGCAAAAAAGUAAGGCUAUAACCUUAACUUUUCGUCCAUUUUUUUCGACUUUUUUCAUUUUUCAUAAAUGGAAAAAAAACAGCAAAAAAGUAAGGCUAUAACCUUGACUUUUGUCCAUUUUUUGCGACUUUUUCAUUUUUCAUAAAUGGCCAAAAAACAGCAAAAAAGUAAGGCUAUAGGCUUAACUUUUCGUCCAUUUUUUGCGAUUUUUUUCAUUCUUCAUAAAUGGCCAAAAAACAGAAAAAAAGUAAGGCUAUAACCUUCACUUUCGUCCAUUUUUUGCGACUUUUUCAUUUUUCAUAAAUAGCCAAAAAACGGCAAAAAAGUAAGCCUAUACCCUUAACUUUUCGUCCAUUUUCAGUGACUUUUUUCAUUUUUCAUAAAUGGCUAAAAAACAGCAAAAAAGUAAGGCUAUAGCCUUAACUUUUCGUCGAAUUUUAGCGACUUUUUUCAUUUGUCAUAAAUGGCAAAAAAAAACAGAAAAAAAGUAAGGCUAUAACCUUAACUUUUCGUCCAUUUUUUGCGACUUUUUCAUUUUUCAUAAAUGGCAAAAAAAACAGCAAAAAAGUAAGGCUAUAGGCUUAACUUUUCGUCCAUUUUUUGCGACUUUUUUCAUUUUUCAUAAAUGGCAAAAAAAACAGCAAAAAGUAAGCCUAUACCCUUAACUUUUCGUCCAUUUUCAGUGACUUUUUUCAUUUUUCAUAAAUGGCUAAAAAAC